CUAGUGGCGACGGGUGAGUAACACGUUGGAACCUGCCCCAAAGUGAGGAAUAAGCCACCGAAAGGUGGUCUAAUACUUCAUAAUAUCCAUCUCGUAUGGAUUAAAGCUUUAUGCGCUUUGGGAGGGGCCUGCGUAACAUUAGCUUGUUGGUGAGGUAAAAGCUCACCAAGGCUUCGAUGUUUAACUGGUUUGAGAGGAUGACCAGUCACACUGGGACUGAGAUACGGCCCAGACUCCUACGGGAGGCAGCAGUAAGGAAUCUUCCACAAUGGGGCAACCCUGAUGGAGCAAUACCGCGUGCAGGAUGAAGCGUUUCGGCGUGUAAACUGCUUUUAUCACCGAAGAUUAUGACUGUAGGUGAAGAAUAAGGACCGGCUAACUACGUG
rnacentral:rRNA from 1 species